GUCCACACUGUAAACGAUGAAUGCUAGGUGUAGGGGGUAUCGACCCCUUCUGUGCCGGAGUUAACACAAUAAGCAUUCCGCCUGGGGAGUACGGCCGCAAGGUUGAAACUCAAAGGAAUUGACGGGGGCCCGCACAAGCAGCGGAGCAUGUGGUUUAAUUCGAAGCAACGCGAAGAACCUUACCAGGUCUUGACAUCCAGUAAAAUCUGUAGAGAUACAGUGUGCCUUCGGGCGUACUGAGACAGGUGGUGCAUGGUUGUCGU
rnacentral:rRNA from 1 species